AGACAAAUGACAAGUUAUUGUGAAGCACACAGAGAAACAAUAAAAAAACGAUAUACAGCUGCCUUUAUGUUAGAUCACAGUAAAGGGGUUCCACAUAUAAAGCUUUUCAUUAUAUGGUGAAAGGUUUUUUUUGUCCAUUUUAACUGGAUUUUCUGUGCUAAUAUUUAUUUUUAAUUAACAGAAGUGGUAGUGCCUGUGUACUUAAGCAGCAACCAACCUUUCUCAGUUCUACAGCAUAUUUUAUUAUAUUUUUCUGCUUUUUAGAUUUUUAGUUUUAGAUUAAUCAUGGGACUUUUAUAAACAGCCUGUGUAAAAUUUUGUGACUAAAGCGUUCCAUCAAAAGACCAGCAAGAGCUCAAUCUACAUUUCACGUGUCAGGCUGCACAGCCUGUGUGGACACUUUUAUUGACUGAAACAGGAGCACAUCUUUCAAUCAAAUGCACCUGACAACUGAAAAAAAACCCCCAAUAACAACAAAAAAGCAGACAAACUAGGCUUUGUUUGUGGUUCCGUCUCACAACGUUCAUCAACCUUCUUUCAGAUCAUCAGGAUUAGUAUAAAUUAGUGUCCAGUUCAAGCCUUCACACAUAAGCCUAAGUUUGUCAUCCAGACAACUUCAAAAGCGAUCUGAUCUUACGUGAACCCAACCAGAGACUUACAUGCCCAAAGACCACUUAACGAAAAGCUUUAGGUUCAAACCAGUAGCUUUCAUUAAUAAUGUAAUUAAUAGCUGUGUGCUGUCUGCCACACAAACUAAAAUAAUUAGUUCAUAUGCUUCAAAAAGUUAUAUACAAAAAGUUAAAUCUUACUUCCACCUCCUACAACAAAAAACAUCAAUACAGGAAAUUAAUAAAGAAGAUUAUACUGCACAGAUUUUGGUCCAGUUGUAUUACAACGUGGGUAUGAACAGACUGAAAAAAACAAAGAACAAAACAAAAAACAUACCUGACCUGGGGCCUGUACUACUGUGAAGUGAACUGAACAUAUGCUGGGUACCUUUCCCUUAUCUGAAUUCAGUUACACCAACACUGGCAAUCAGAAGAAGCAGGCACAUGAAGCUGAUUAUCAGCUCCCUAAAUUAACCCGGGGUUUCCUUUGCGCAUUCACACAAAAGAGGUGACGCUGGAAGCAUCAGCCCAAUCACAUAUAUGAAUAAGUGCACUGGCAGCCUACGCUAUGGAAAACUAGUAAGAGGUCAAACACAUAAUACAGACUGAAAGUAGCACUGCUGCUGCAGACAAAGUCUGUAAAGUCUGAGAGCACAAACACUAAACAGUAUGAUAAAAAAAAACAAAAACUGAAGCGUUGUGUGUGUGGUUGAAAAGUUUUUGAUUAGUGAGACUGGAAAAGACCUCAGAUCAAUAAAAUGUAGCCUAUUUGAAACCUCGAAAGAAGUCUGGCAAAAGUGCAAACUUUGUACUGCAAGUAAAAAACAACAACUUUAUCUGAAAGACGCAAGAGAAUCUGACAGUAAAUUAAUGUUUAAAAUACAGUUUUAGUUUUUAUUUUUUCAAUUCAAGCACAGACUGUCUCCAAUUUGAUGUAAGGUCAGAAAGUACAUCAUUUAUUAAUGCAUACAAAAAGUAAAAUAGUUUAAAAGUAAUUGUUUGCAGCCACCAGGGAAAAAAUAAAGCCGCGUCUACGAAUCUGUAUUUAUUACUGAAGCUCAUCAUGGAAACACAAAAACUUUAGACAGUCCUACUAUCCACCAGCAAAAGUUCAAUCUUUCAUGAAUUUUGAUCAUAUUUUGAUUGAACUGACUGGCAAAUAGGUGUUAAUUUCACACAUGUUGAUCUCUAAUGUGCUUCAGAGCAGUAACCAGGGUGAUGCAAGCAAGUUGAAACCUGGUGAUCUUAAAAAAGACGCGAAAGAGAGAUAAAAUCUUUUUUUUUUUUUUUUGCCUGUCCCAUGUGGUUCUUUAGACGUCAGAAUUGUUGUCUAAAGACCAGCAAGGAUACCCAAUGGAUUUACUUAUUGGUCCAUUUGAUCGACAUUUGUUGUUAUUAUUUAUUUUAUUUUAUUUUCAGUUGUUACAGACGGGACAGACAUGACUCAGGGAUAGGAAAGGGAGAAAGAAAGAUGAAGGAAAAGAAAAACAGAAGGGAAGAGGGACAGUGAGAAAGGGCACUUAAAACGAGAAAGAAGAGAAAAAGAAAUCUCCUGGAUCACCUGUUGAGAGAAAAAGAAGAGAAAACAAGCCAAAAAAAAAAAACAGAGCAACAUACUAAACACAGCACCAUCACGUUAAUCUAGCUAAGUGUAAACAGCAGUAAAUACUAAAUAUUGAAUGUUGUUGUGUAGCAAGCAGGACCGACAGCGCACAAUGUGCUUGGAUAUAGCAGCCAAUAAAGGUUUGUGUCUAUGAACAGUGAACACCCGUGUGCACACCUGUGUGGAUCAGCGCGCUUGUAUUCAAAAGGUUUCCCCAUGUAAUGGUCUGCUAGAGGAUGUAGAGAGCCAUGGCUCUGUCCUCCAGGGCAUGAAGCAGGCAUGGAGGAGAUCCAGGCUCCAGACAUCCAGAGGCCCCAGAGUGCGAGAGCCCAAGGAGGACCACCGGAGGGGCAUCCGUGCCACCCUUCUG
ensembl:lncRNA